GAUGAACGCUGACAGAAUGCUUAACACAUGCAAGUCAACUUGAACUUCGGUUUGGGUGGCGGACGGGUGAGUAACGCGUAAAGAACUUGCCUCACAGUUAGGGACAACAUUUGGAAACGAAUGCUAAUACCUGAUAUUAUGAUUUUAGGGCAUCCUAGAAUUAUGAAAGCUAUAUGCGCUGUGAGAGAGCUUUGCGUCCCAUUAGCUAGUUGGAGAGGUAACGGCUCACCAAGGCGAUGAUGGGUAGCCGGCCUGAGAGGGUGAACGGCCACAAGGGGACUGAGACACGGCCCUUACUCCUACGGGAGGCAGCAGUGGGGAAUAUCGGACAAUGGACCAAGAGUCUGAUCCAGCAAUUCUGUGUGCACGAUGAAGUUUUUCGGAAUGUAAAGUGCUUUCAGCUGGGAAGAAAAAAAUGACGAUACCAACAGAAGAAGUGACGGCUAAAUACGUG
rnacentral:rRNA from 1 species